rnacentral:rRNA from 1 species
ACGGUCCUAUGGAUUGUAAACUGCUUUUGUACGAGAAGAAACAACAUUACGUGUAAUGUCUUGACGGUAUCGUAAGAAUAAGGAUCGGCUAACUCCGUGCCAGCAGCCGCGGUAAUACGGAGGAUCCAAGCGUUAUCCGGAAUCAUUGGGUUUAAAGGGUCCGUAGGCGGUUUAGUAAGUCAGUGGUGAAAGCCCAUCGCUCAACGGUGGAACGGCCAUUGAUACUGCUGAACUUGAAUUAUUAGGAAGUAACUAGAAUAUGUAGUGUAGCGGUGAAAUGCUUAGAGAUUACAUGGAAUACCAAUUGCGAAGGCAGGUUACUACUAAUGGAUUGACGCUGAUGGACGAAAGCGUGGGUAGCGAACAGGAUUAGAUACCCUGGUAGUCCACGCCGUAAACGAUGGAUACUAGCUGUUGGGAGCAAUUUCAGUGGCUAAGCGAAAGUGAU